UACGGGGGGGGCAAGCGUUGUUUGGAAUUACUGGGCGUAAAGGGCUCGUAGGCGGCCAACUAAGUCCGACGUGAAAUCCCCAGGCUUAACCUGGGAACUGCGUCGGAUACUGGAUGGCUUGAAUUCGGGAGAGGGAUGCAGAAUUCCAGGUGUAGCGGUGAAAUGCGUAGAUAUCUGGAGGAAUACCGGUGGCGAAGGCGGCAUCCUGGACCGACAUUGACGCUGAUGAGCGAAAGCUAGGGGAGCAAACGGG
rnacentral:rRNA from 1 species